AUUCAAACAUUGACGCGGCAUUGUAAAGGAAGACCCACAGAGCAGAACGUGCUGUUCAUGAGAACCGCCACAAACCUGACAGGAAGUGUUGAGCCAUUGUCAACAGUUUUCUGGAAAUGACCUAACUACUGCCAGGAAGAGGAAUGUGAAGAAUUCCCUGGAGCUGGGAGUGACGUCAGAACACCGAGGAGGCCCCUUUGCAUCCGCCAGCCUGGAUAUUCCAGAGUACACUCAAACCCAAACUCCCAACAGCUGGAGUCAACUGCUGCCUUGCUCCGGCUCCAAAAACACUCCCUGAAAACACCUCCACCCCCCACCACCAUCUGAGAGACAGCUCCCCACAUCUGUACUUCGUGUUCUUACUAGUAUGGCUUAGAAUAGUAAAGUAUAUCACAAUUAAAAGACAAUAAGCAGUUCAAAAUAACUUUUUCUAACAAGAAAUUGAGUAGUCUUU